rnacentral:rRNA from 1 species
CGUAGGGUGCGAGCGUUAAUCGGAAUUACUGGGCGUAAAGCGUGCGCAGGCGGUUUUGUAAGACAGGCGUGAAAUCCCCGGGCUCAACCUGGGAACUGCGCUUGUGACUGCAAGGCUAGAGUACGGCAGAGGGGGGUGGAAUUCCACGUGUAGCAGUGAAAUGCGUAGAGAUGUGGAGGAACACCUAUGGCGAAGGCAGCCCCCUGGGUCGAUACUGACGCUCAUGCACGAAAGCGUGGGUAGCAAACAGGAUUAGAUACCCUGGUAGUCCACGCCCUAAACGAUGUCAACUAGGUGUUGGGUGGGUAAAACCAUUUAGUACCGGAGCUAACGCGUGAAGUUGACCGCCUGGGGAGUACGGCCGCAAGGUUA